GUCGUCGCCGUCGCCGUCGACUGCGAAAGGGGGUGACCGAAGAAAGGGCAGGCCGACAUUUUGAAUUUACUUUGCAUACUGCUGCCUUUUGUUCUUGAACCAAAUUGAAAUACGUUUUUACGACGCUUUAAAAAUAAACAGGCACUCGGACGCGGGCGAACUUUUGGGGGAGUGCCAAAGCUGCUCGAUAUUUUUGGAGUUGCAUCGUGGAAGCAAACGAGUUAGCUGAAAGCUUCCGGCAUUACAAAUAACACAGUGACUAACAACAUCAAAGAACCGAUCCCGGGGGCGUGUUCUCGAAACUGGUUGGGUAUUAUUUCUGGGGUCCUGCCCACGGAUGCCCCCAGUUUCCGUUUCUCGUUUUCGUUUAGAUGUCACCCAAACAUCAACCAUUGCCUUUCAACUAAUCCGGGAUCGGUACUCGCCUGAAGAUUCCGAAGAGUCGAUAAAAAAGGUAUGUACAUACAUACAUAUGUACAUAUGUACACAUCUUGCAGGCACCAAAACAGGAGCGAGAGUGUGUGUGUUAUUUUUGGCAAAACACGUUUAACAGGUUGACUGGCAGGGACUGGAAAAGUUGGCGUUAGAAAUUUAGCCAGAAUCAGAAGUGACUAUCGUGAGAUCAGUGAUUUUAUCAUCCCAACUCAGAUCCAAUCACAAAAUCCUAAGCAGAAGACAGCACUGUCGCCUUGAACUUGAAUUUCGGAGCAGAGAAAACUGGCCUUCGAACGAAGCUCGGUACAGUAAACACUCGGUGCGUCCAGAGAGCAGCGAUGCAGGGGAAAACGGGCGGAAACGGAGCUGCAGCCUGCAGCCCGAACAAAAGCGCUCGACUUUUCGUGUACAGCCAACGAGCAGCGUCAAAAAGUGACGCGUCGCUGCAGUCUUGUCCUUGAACUUGGCAAACGUUUUUAUGGCUGUGUUUUUUGCAGGCGAACAGACACACACUCGUGCAAUUCGCUUUCAAAUGCACACAGCUGCAGCCGAACGCGCAGGGGCGCAUUAUAUAUAUGUGUGUAUGUGUGUACAUCCAUGUGUGCACUCAUCGUUGUUAUAUGCAGGAACACAACUACAAUCUGUCCACGAAAAUGUAUCAUUUUUAUGACGAACAUUGAAUCAUUGAGCAAUUUUAAACUCUUUUGUAUUCUGGUUUCUUAAACACAAAGAUACAUAUGUACAUAUGUAAACCGAGAUUUAUUGCGGUUUCGGCAAUCCCA